rnacentral:rRNA from 1 species
GCGAAGGCAGCUUUCUGGAUCAUUACUGACACUGAGGAACGAAAGCAUGGGUAGCGAAGAGGAUUAGAUACCCUCGUAGUCCAUGCCGUAAACGAUGUGUGUUAGACGUUGGAAAUUUAUUUUCAGUGUCGCAGCGAAAGCGAUAAACACACCGCCUGGGGAGUACGACCGCAAGGUUAAAACUCAAAUGAAUUGACGGGGACCCGCACAAGUAGUGGAGCAUGUGGUUUAAUUCGAAGAUACGCGCAGAACCUUACCAACACUUGACAUGUUCGUCGCGACUUUAAGAGAUUAAAGUUUUCGGUUCGGCCGGACGAAACACAGGUGCUGCAUGGCUGUCGUCAGCUCGUGUCGUGAGAUGUUGGGUUAAGUCCCGCAACGAGCGCAACCCUCACUUUUAGUUGCCAUCAUUAAGUUGGGCACUCUGAAAGAACUGCCAGUGAUAAGCUGGAGGAAGGUGGGGAUGACGUCAAGUCCUCAUGGCCCUUACGUGUUGGGCUACACACGUGCUACAAUGGUAUCUACAACAGGAAGCAAGACGGCGACGUUAAGCAAAUCCUCAAAAGAUACCUCAGUUCGGAUUGCACUCUGCAACUCGAGUGCAUGAAGCUGGAAUUACUAGUAAUCGUGGAUCAGCGUGCCACGGUGAAUGCGUUCCCGGGUCUUGUACACACCGCCCGUCACACCAUGGGAGUUGGUUCUACCUUAAGGCAAGGUUUCAAACCCUUGACCACGGUAUAGUCAGCGACUGGGGUGAAGUCGUAACAAGGUAGCCGUAGGGGAACCUGCGGCUG